GUGGGGAAUCUUCCGCAAUGGACGAAAGUCUGACGGAGCAACGCCGCGUGAGUGAAGAAGGUUUUCGGAUCGUAAAGCUCUUUCGUUAGGGACGAACGUGCUCUUUGUGAAUAAUGAGGAGUAAUGACGGUACCUAAAUAAGAAGCCACGGCUAACUACGUGCCAGCAGCCGCGGUAAUACGUAGGUGGCAAGCGUUGUCCGGAAUUAUUUGGCGUAAAGCGCGCGCAGGCGGGAUAUCAAGUCUGUCUUAAAAGUGCGAGGCUAAACCUCGUGAGGGGACAGAAACUGGUAUUCUUGAGUGUCGGAGAGGAAAGUGGAAUUCCAAGUGUAGCGGUGAAAUGCGUAGAGAUUUGGAAGAACACCAGUGGCGAAGGCGACUUUCUGGACGAUGUCUGACGCUGAGGCGCGAAAGCUAGGGGAGCGAACGGGAUUAGAAACCCCUGUAGUCC
rnacentral:rRNA from 1 species